UUUUUUGAGAGUUUGAUCCUAGCUCAGGAUGAACGCUGGCGACGUGGAUAAGGCAUGCAAGUCGAGCGGUUUUUUAUUGUUUCGCAAGAGACGAUGAAAGACAGCGGCGAAUGGGUUAGUAAUACCCUGGUACAUACCCCGAAGUGGGAAAUAGCCAGUCGAAAGAUUGGGUAAUAUCCCAUAGUUUGAUAAUCGAAUUGUGUUUGCAAAAAUUUGUAGACAGAAUUCGGUUAUCAGUAAAGACGCAAGUCGCUUCGGGAAUGGCUUAGGUCCGAUCAGCUAGUUGGUAGGGUAAAAGCCUACCAAGGCUAUGACCGGUAGGGGGGCCGAGAGGCUGUUCCCCAACAACGCAACUGAGACAUGGUGCGUACGCCUACGGGCGGCAGCAGUCGAGAAUAUUCCACAAUGGGCGAAAGCCUGAUGGAGCGACGUCGCGUGCAGGAUGAAGGUCUUCGGAUUGUAAACUGCUUUUCUAUAGGAAAAAGUCCCUCCCCACUUUUGCUUAUGAUAUCAAUCAGAAUACAACAGGUUUGUGAGAAACAAGCUUUUUUAUUCUUGAAAAAUAUCACUAGCAAAAGUGGGGAGGGAUUGAUGGUACUAUAGGAAUAAGGGGUGACUAACUACGUGCCAGCAGUAGCGGUAAUACGUAGACCCCGAGCGUUAUCCGGAUUUAUUGGGCGUAAAGAGUGCGUAGGAGGUCUGACGCGUUAACUGUAAAAUUUCACUGCUCAACAGUGAACGCGCGGUUAAAACGGUCAGACUAGAGGAUACCAGAGGUCAUUGGAACGUACGGUGUAGGGGUGAAAUCCGUUGAUAUCGUACGGAACACCAAAGGCGAAGGCAAAUGACUGGGGUAUUCCUGACUCUGAGGCACGAAAGCGUGGGGAGCAAAAAGGAUUAGAUACCCUUGUAGUCCACGCUGUAAACGAUGUUCACUUGCUAUUUCGAGUAUCGACCCUCGAAGUGGCGGAGCUAACGCGUUAAGUGAACCGCCUGGGAAGUACGGCCGCAAGGCUAAAACUCAAAGGAAUAGACGGGGACUCGCACAAGCGGUGGAGCAUGAGGUUUAAUUCGAUAACAAACGAGGAACCUUACCAGGGCUUGAAAUUCUAACGAACUCCGGUGGAAACGCCGGGGGUCUCUCAAGGACGUUAGAACAGGUGCUGCAUGGUUGAAAUAUCGACCCGCUCCAAAGUAAUUUGGAGUGCAACCCUUCGAUAUAACUCGAUCCGCCAACUGGCGGAUGAGUAUGUUGAAGGCAAAACCGGCUCAUAACGGUGAAACCCUAAUGUAUUCAUGAUAAAAUGAGUGCAUGGGCAAUACCGUGGGAAGUGCGAACACUGAUUUUUGGAAUCUUAAAACAAAAGACGACGCUUACAUAAUUGGUUUAUGGUGUGCGGAUGGAUACUGUUGGACAAGCAGUAUUGGUAUUAGCAAUACUGAUUCUGAUUUGAUAGAAAAAUUUCGGGAAUUUUUCCUGAGAUUUUUUUCGGCUGAUAGAUUAAAAUUAAUGAUUUAUCAUCCUGAUAAAUUUAAAAGACGCACCAAAGCCUACCAUUUGUAUGUAAAUAGUCGGCCUUUAUUAAGAAGGUUCAAGGAAUUCAAAGAUAAUGCGACAAAAUUCAUCAAUGGAGAUUUAAUUCUGCCUUAUAUGGCUGGCAGAUUUGAUGGAGACGGCUCUAUUGCCAAGGAUUUUUAUAGCGAUUGUCGCAUUGUUUACGGUAGUCUAGGGGAAGCACAAAACGAUUUAGCGCUGGUACUUUCAUUGGGUUUUCAGAAAAUGAAAAUCUAUAAUUAUCGUACCGCCAAAACUUUUUGUUUAUAUUUUUCUAGGUUGGAAACAAAUAAAUUUCUUUCCCUGAUUUAUCCCUAUUCGGUAAGAUUACAAAAAUCAGUGUUUGCACCCCGUAGAGACUUGGCUGUUAUUGGGUAGCAGUCAGAUUCGCCAAUUGGCGGAUAAAACGCCGGUACCCUUAAUAGGGUAAUGGUAUAGUCCAUACCACUAGUAAUAGUGGAACAAUAUGGCCGUCAGCUCGUGGUUUGAAUUGUUCCCUUAAGUGGGGUAACGAGCGCAACCCCUGCCUCAAGUUAUAAGUGUCUUGAGGGACUGCCGUGUUUAACGCGGAGGAAGGCGGGGAUGACGUCAAAUCAGCACGGCCCUUUGAUGCCCUGGGCUACACUCAUGCUACAAUGGUCGGUAUAAUGGGUUGCCAAAUCGUAAGAUGGAGCCAAUCCCAACAAAACCGAUCUCAAUUCGGAUUGAGGGCUGCAACUCGCCCUCAUGAAGCCGGAAUCGCUAGUAAUCGCGCAUCAGCUAUGGCGCGGUGAAUACGUUCUCGAGUCCUGUACUCACCGCCCGUCACACCAAGGGAGCCGGGAGUAGGUAAAGCCCCGCUUCGGCGGAGUCAGCCUGACCUCGGUGACAUGGGUGAAGUCGUAACAAGGCACCGGUAGGGGAACCUGUCGGUGGAUAAUUUAAUAA
rfam:Candidatus Jorgensenbacteria bacterium RIFCSPLOWO2_12_FTLL_42_11 rifcsplowo2_12_scaffold_17412, whole genome shotgun sequence.